rnacentral:lncRNA from 1 species
CUCUCUUUUCACCACAGUCUGGUAAAAACUCUGUUACAGGGGCUUGCUUGGUCAGUUGUCUGACUUCAGCUCAGGUCAUGAUCUCCCGGCUUGUGAGUUGGAGCCCUGCACCAGGCUCUGUGCUGACAGCUCAGAGCCUGGAGCCUGCUUCGGAUUCUGUCUCCCUCUCUCUCUGCUCCUCCCCUGUUCACUCUCUCUCUCUCUCUCUCAAAAAUGAAUAAACAUUAAAAAAAAAAUCAAAAAACCUCUGUUACAGACUUCCAUUGGUUUCCGUAUCAACAUUUGGGUAUCCACCGCCCAAACUAUAAUUCUAGACCAUGCACUUGUAUUUUCCUCCCGGAACCCUAUAUACUGGACCCGAUAACUUUGCUGCCUUGGGCAAUUUUCAAUUCUCAGAGAGCGACUUGCUUUUCCUGCCACUUCUCAUGCUAUUCCCUCUGCUUGGAACACUCCCUGCCCACCUGGAAAACUCUUUGUUCUCAAAUGCUGCCAGUUCUGUGAAGUUUUCUUGACCUUCACCAUCCCAGGACAUUAAUUAUCCCAUCAUUGGUGUUCCCAUAGAACUUGCCCCUUGGCACCCGACUCACUUAUUUAUGGAUCUGUUCUUUGCUGACUUGACUUGGCAAACAUUAUUGGCCCCCAAAUCAGUUAUUUACAACUAUAAGACACCCGGGAGCAGCGGGAGGGAGAGGGCAGGGGAGGGAAGAGGGACCACAGGGAAGAAUAUAUUCUUUUCAGAGGUUAAAAUGAGUUAUUUAGGAAAUGUGAUGUACAAUACCAUGCAUUUACUCUCCAAAGCUAGUCACUAGCAAGCUAACGCCUCUAAUACUACAACCACCAAUUACAGCUGUUUUGCUACAGUUACUGAGUUCUAACUACAGCUAUAGGGCAGAAAGGGUGGGCUGUUUCCAUUUUAAACUUUCUCCCUUUGAAAAUGGCCAUAAAAGUGUUCUCUGUACAAGUUUAAUGGCACAAAAAGGUGACCCAAAACUUUUUUUUUUUUAAAGAACUUACCACACAUAAGAAAUGCAAACUUCAAUCAAAACAUGCAUUAGCUGUGUACAAGUCAUAAAGGAUCAUUGGCUUCAAGCUGCAAUAUAUUACAGGACCAUACAUUGGAGACGUUUUGGUAUAACUUCUUACUUGCUCAAAUCCCUUUAGGAGAACUCAGAAAGAAAAGCCAUUGGAAAGGGUGUUCCGUUUCGUAUUGCCAAGCGGUGACAUUCCCAAGGGCUGUGCGUCCUAUUGAAUAAAUUAGCACCUACAAGCUGACUUCUUGAGGCC